AGCGUCUUAGGUUGGAUUUCCUAGGAACAGAACCUGUGACAGGAAUUCAGGUGGAGCUGUUUUAGGCUGGGUGCUGUGGCCCAGGCCUGGAAUCCCAGCACUUCAGAAGGCCAAGGCAGGAGAAUCGCUUGAGCCCAGGAGUUCAAGAGCAGCCUGGGCAACAUGUUGAAACAUCAUCUCUAUACAAAUAUACGCACAAAAAUUAGCUGGACAUGGUGGUGUGCACCUGUAGUCCUAACUACUCAGGAAGCUGUGGUGGAAGAAUCACUUGAGCCCAGGAGGUCGAGGCUGCAAUAAGCUGUGAUUGCACCACUGCACUCCAGCAUGGAUGACAGAGCAAGACACCCUGUCUCAAAAAAAAGACUGUACAACAGAGCUCUGAAAAAGAUCACACUUUCAGGCUCAAGGAGCUCUCUUGUUCCUUCCACCAUCUGAGAACACAGUGAGAAGUCCCCAGGCUUCAACCUGAAAAAGGGCCCUCAUCAGAACCUGAUCAUCAGAACUUGGCACCCCAAUCUUUGUCUUCUGAUCUACAUUGUGACCUAAGUCAG